UACGUAGGCGGAAAAUUAAGUCAGUGGUGAAAUCCUGCAGCUUAACUGUAGAACUGUUAUUGAUACUGGUUUUCUUGAAUAUAGUUGAGGUAGGCGGAAUGUGUAAUGUAGCGGUGAAAUGCUUAGAUAUUACACAGAACACCGAUUGCGAAGGCAGCUUACUAAGCUAUGAUUGACGCUGAGGUACGAAAGCGUGGGGAGCGAACAGGAUUAGAUACCCUGGUAGUCCC
rnacentral:rRNA from 1 species